UACGGGGGGGGUAAGCGUUGUUCGGAAUUACUGGGCGUAAAGGGCUCGUAGGCGGCCAACUAAGUCAGACGUGAAAUCCCUCAGCUUAACUGGGGAACUGCGUCUGAUACUGGAUGGCUUGGAUUUGGGAGAGGAAUGCGGAAUUCCAGGUGUAGCGGUGAAAUGCGUAGAUAUCUGGAGGAACACCGGUGGCGAAGGCGGCAUUCUGGACCAAUAUUGACGCUGAGGAGCGAAAAGCCAGGGGAGCAAACGGG
rnacentral:rRNA from 1 species